rnacentral:rRNA from 1 species
GCCUGACUGCGAGACUGACAAGUCGAGCAGAGACGAAAGUCGGUCAUAGUGAUCCGGUGGUCCCGAGUGGAAGGGCCAUCGCUCAACGGAUAAAAGGUACGCCGGGGAUAACAGGCUGAUACUGCCCAAGAGUCCAUAUCGACGGCAGUGUUUGGCACCUCGAUGUCGGCUCAUCUCAUCCUGGGGCUGGAGCAGGUCCCAAGGGUACGGCUGUUCGCCGUUUAAAGAGGUACGUGAGCUGGGUUUAGAACGUCGUGAGACAGUUCGGUCCCUAUCUGCCGUGGGUGUCGGAAGCUUGAGAGGAUCUGUUCCUAGUACGAGAGGACCGGAAUGGACGCACCUCUGGUGGACCGGUUGUCGCGCCAGCGGCACAGCCGGGUAGCUAAGUGCGGAAAGGAUAACCGCUGAAAGCAUCUAAGCGGGAAGCCCCCC